rnacentral:rRNA from 1 species
UACGUAGGGGGCAAGCGUUGUCCGGAUUUAUUGGGCGUAAAGAGCGUGUAGGCGGCCAGACAGGUCCGUUGUGAAAACUCGAGGCUCAACCUCGAGACGCCGAUGGAAACCGUCUGGCUAGAGUCCGGAAGAGGAGAGUGGAAUUCCUGGUGUAGCGGUGAAAUGCGCAGAUAUCUGGAGGAACACCGGUGGCGAAGGCGGCAUCCUGGACCGAUACUGACGCUGAGGAGCGAAAGCCAGGGGAGCAAACGGG